rnacentral:rRNA from 1 species
CGGCGGCGAAGGCGGUAACCUGGUCUGUUACUGACGCUCAGGCACGAAAGCGUGGGGAGCAAAUAGGAUUAGAUACCCUAGUAGUCCACGCCCUAAACGAUGAUUACUAAAUGUUGGGGAAACUCAGUGUUGUAGCUAACGCAAUAAGUAAUCCGCCUGGGGAGUAUGCACGCAAGUGUGAAACUUAAAGGAAUUGACGGGGCCCCGCACAAGCGGUGGAGUAUGCGGUUUAAUUCGACGCAACGCGAAGAACCUUACCAGGGCUUGACAUCCCCUGCAAAACUAUAGAGAUAUGGCAGAGGUUAUCAGGGUGACAGGUGGUGCAUGGUUGUCGUCAGCUCGUGUCGUGAGAUGUUGGGUUAAGUCCCGCAACGAGCGCAACCCUUGUCUUUAGUUACCAUCAUUUAGUUGGGGACUCUAGAGGGACUGCCGGUGAUAAACCGGAGGAAGGUGGGGAUGACGUCAAAUCAUCAUGCCCUUUAUGUCUUGGGCUACACGCGGACUACAAUGGCGUACACAACAAGAAGCAAUACAGCGAUGUGGAGCAAAACUUACAAAUUACGUCUCAGUUCGGAUCGAAGUCUGCAACCCGACUUCGUGA